AUACUUACCUGAUUUUCCCAGGGCAAGGCUUAUCCAUUGCACUCCGGAUGUGCUGACCCCUGCAAUUUCCCCAAAUGUGGGAAACUCAACUGCAUAAUUUGUGGUAGUGGGGGACUACAUUCGUGCUUUCCUCAG
rnacentral:snRNA from 1 species